rnacentral:rRNA from 1 species
UCGAGCGAACCAAUAAGAAGCUUGCUUUUUGUUGGUUAGCGGCGGACGGGUGAGUAACACGUGGGUAACCUGCCUGUAAGACCGGGAUAACUCCGGGAAACCGGUGCUAAUACCGGAUAGAUUAUCUUUCCGCCUGGAGAGAUAAGGAAAGAUGGCUUUUGCCAUCACUUACAGAUGGGCCCGCGGCGCAUUAGCUAGUUGGUGAGGUAACGGCUCACCAAGGCGACGAUGCGUAGCCGACCUGAGAGGGUGAUCGGCCACACUGGGACUGAGACACGGCCCAGACUCCUACGGGAGGCAGCAGUAGGGAAUCUUCCGCAAUGGACGAAAGUCUGACGGAGCAACGCCGCGUGAGUGAAGAAGGUCUUCGGAUCGUAAAGCUCUGUUGUUAGGGAAGAACAAGUAUCGGAGGAAAUGCCGGUACCUUGACGGUACCUGACGAGAAAGCCACGGCUAACUACGUGCCAGCAGCCGCGGUAAUACGUAGGUGGCAAGCGUUGUCCGGAGUUAUUGGGCGUAAAGCGCGCGCAGGCGGUCCUUUAACUCUGAUGUGAAAUCUUGCCGCUCAACCGCAAGCGGUCAUUGGAAACUGGGGGACUUGAGUGCAGA